CCAGCAGCCGCGGUAAUACGGAGGGUGCGAGCGUUAAUCGGAAUUACUGGGCGUAAAGCGUGCGUAGGCGGCUUGAUAAGCCGGUUGUGAAAGCCCCGGGCUCAACCUGGGAACGGCAUCCGGAACUGUUAGGCUAGAGUGCAGGAGAGGAAGGUAGAAUUCCCGGUGUAGCGGUGAAAUGCGUAGAGAUCGGGAGGAAUACCAGUGGCGAAGGCGGCCUUCUGGACUGACACUGACGCUGAGGUACGAAAGCGUGGGUAGCAAACAGGAUUAGAUACCCUGGUAGUCCACGCCGUAAACGAUGUCGACUAGCCGUUGGGGUCCUCGAGACCUUUGUGGCGCAGUUAACGCACUAAGUCGACCGCCUGGGGAGUACGGCCGCAAGGUUAAAACUCAAAUGAAUUGACGGGGGCCCGCACAAGCGGUGGAGCAUGUGGUUUAAUUCGAUGCAACGCGAAGAACCUUACCUACCCUUGACAUCGUGCGAACUUUCCAGAGAUGGAUUGGUGCCUUCGGGAGCGCACAGACAGGUGCUGCAUGGCUGUCGUCAGCUCGUGUUGUGAAAUGUUGGGUUAAGUCCCGUAACGAGCGCAACCCUUGUCCCUAUUUGCCAGCGAUUCGGUCGGGAACUCUAGGGAGACUGCCGGUGACAAACCGGAGGAAGGUGGGGACGACGUCAAGUCAUCAUGGCCCUUACGGGUAGGGCUACACACGUGCUACAAUGGCCGGUACAAUGGGUUGCAAAGCGGCGACGUGGAGCUAAUCUCAUAAAGCCGGUCUCAGUCCGGAUCGGAGUCUGCAACUCGACUCCGUGAAGUCGGAAUCGCUAGUAAUCGUGCAUCAGAAUGGCACGGUGAAUACGUUCCCGGGCCUUGUACACACCGCCCGUCACACCAUGGG
rnacentral:rRNA from 1 species